rnacentral:rRNA from 1 species
GACGAAGGGUGCGAGCGUUACCCGGAUUGACUGGGCGUAAAGGGUCCGUAGACGGUAUUUUUUAGUUAAAGGUUAAAUCGGAAAGCUUAACUUUCUUCCAGCCUUUAAUACUUCGAUACUUUGAGUUUGAAUGGGGAUAGCGGAAUUUCACAUGUAGGUGUGAUAUCCUAAUAUAUGUAAAGGAACACCAGAGGCGAAGGCGGCUAUCUAGUUCAAUACUGACGUUGAGGGACGAAAGCAUGGGGAGCAAACAGG